UGGAACACACAAUACACUAUUGAAGGCUUCAAAUUAUAGAUCACAAAAAAUUAUAUUCCAUUCGCAUAUAUUGUUUACAACAGUAGGUUACAGUAAAAAAAGAAGGCAUUAAAAAUGUACAAAUUAUCUUCAUAAUGCCUAAAAUAUUGAUGACCAGUCCAAGCCAAAGUCAACAGAAACAAAUACUACUCCAUCAUAUCUGCAGUUUCUUAUUAACUUGGAAAGUGAAGUCGGCAAGGUCUGUAUGAUGGUCGUAAGGAAUUAUAUCAAAUUACAAGUAAUUGACAAAUCAUAUUCUCACAGUAAUUUUAUCAAACACCUAAUAGACGGUCGAAAAAAAAAUUACUAUCAUGAGGGCAUAGUCAUAGAAUAUAGAUUAUGAGAAGAUAAAUAUAGCGAAAAGAUUUUGUGGUACUAUGGUCAAAAGAUUCGAAACACCUAGUAUACAGAUCUCAGAUCUCAGAUCUCAGAGUGCAGAAAUCAGAAAUCAGAAAGUAUUAUAGUGUAUAUGAUGUGUACAGAUCUGAGAUCUCAUGAGUCACGACUUACCGUUGGUUGCAUGCUAGCUCAGGGUCAGAGAUGCAGCAGAUGCUUAGAUUUGAGAGAGGGCAGGCCGGCAGGUUGAGCUUUAAUGGAGGAGAAGCUUCAAUGGAGCCAUGGAGGAGAAGUUAUUUCAUAUUUGUGAAGAAGACUGAAGAACUAAUGAAGAAGACUGAAGAGGUAUGUAGAGACGUUAAGAGCAUCUCCAGCAGAUGACUAUGGAUUAUAUUUAGUGCAUAUGACGUGAGCAGAUGUCUAUAGUCUUCAAUUCUUCCAGUAAAUGGAUCAUAAUUUUCUAUAAAAAAAUAAAUUAAAGAGAGAUUAUCAAUAAAAAAUAAAAAUUAAAUAUAAUAAAAAUACAAAUUAUUAUUAAUAAAAUACUUACAAUUACUAAAUGUUAGAAUAAUUAAUUGAAAAUUGUAAAAUUUAUUAAAUUAUUGUACAUAUUUAUAAAUUUUCCAAUUACCCUAAUAAUUGUAUAUUUGUAUUCUAUAUGUUGCUAUCACUCUUCCCACUUCGUCUUCUUCAUCUCCUUCUUCACAUACCUUCUUCUCCUUCAUUUUAUUCUUCACAGAUCUUCAUCUUCUUUUUCUUCUAUCCAUUCUCCCAUUUAAUAAUAUUAAAAACAUAGUCCAUGAGAUUUUUGUUCCUUGAUUUAGUCUUUUUGGAUUGCCGGAAAAUGGCUGGACUAAAUAUACUCUAUCUGCUGGAGCAAAAUCUGCUUUCUAGACUAAAUAUAGUCUAGAAUUUUCGCAACUGCGGCCUGUUGGAAUUGCUCUAAGACCGAAAAGAGUAAAGUGAAGUAUGUAAAAGAGAAAGUAAGGUAAAGUGAGUAACUGAGUUAUAAAGUACUUAAAGUAUUAAUUAAUAAUUAUUACAAUUCAGUUUAUAUCGAAUUUAAAAAUCCAAAAAAAUCGGUACCGUCGGUUUCGGUACAGACCGAUUCGAUAAAAAACCAACAAAAUCGAAUUUUUUAAGGAACCCUAUCUAACGUUUUCCAGACAUGAUUGAUGCCAAAAGAUCUAUAUAAUGGAAUCCAUCAGUAUUAAACAAGUAAAUAACUCUAAGAUCCAUAUUUACCUGCUGUACAUUUUUAAUCACAUAUUUACCUGCUGUACAUUUUUAAUCACAUAUUUUCAUUACCUGCUGUACAUUUUUAAUCACAUAUUUACCAAAAAGAUCCAUAAAACCUGCAUCAAACUCAAAGGAACAAGAUAUUAGUAUAGGAAAUAGGGAAUUUCAUCAGAUAAGAACUAGUCAUACAUACUUCAAUAUAAAAGAAUACAAGCUACAAAGUUAUCAACUUGCCCAUUAAUCCAGGGCAUUUUGAAGCUGAUUCUCUAUUUAAAAUUGUGGAUAGGCACUGCCAAUAAAUUAGGGAGAUUACCACUAAAAAGACUGUGAUAACAGAAAAGAUUGGUUGCAAUUGCUCCUGGAUGAAGUGCAUUUGCAGUUAUAUCUAACCCCUCUUCCUGUUCAGAGAAAAUAACAUCGACAUUGUUUUAGAGAAUAUCACUGACACUACUAAGAGGACAGACACUUAUGAUAGAUUAUUUCGCAUUGUCCACAACUUACUAAUGUUUACAGGGUGACAUCAGUGGCAAUGCAGAAGUGAAGCAUCAAUCUUAAGCAAGCAAAUCACACUUAUCGAAGUUUAUCAUUGAUUCAGUUUUAUGAGGAUGUAUACAAGCAUUGAAAUACCUUCAAACGCCUUGCAAGUUCAUUAGCAUGCAGAACAUUAGCAAGUUUUGACUGACCAUAUGCAGAUAAACUGUUAUACCUGUAUAUCACGAAUUAUGCACACAUUAGAUGAAGUUGACGAAACACAUAAAAGAACAGUCAUUUUCUAAAACAUGAAGAAUAGACACAGACACAUGAAACACACACAGCGGCACACAUACAUAAAUGCGUGCGAGAGAGAAGAAUGCCAUACUCUGACUGAUCAUUAAUUUUGUCAAAGCGAAUCCCUUCAGGAUAUGUAAACUGGUGGCGCCGUGAUGAGACAUUCAAAAUUCUUCCUUCUUUGCUACUUUCACGUGCUGUCGUCUUCAUGGCUUCCAACAAUAGAUUUGUCAAAAGAAAAUGACCAGUGAGAUGAUAAAGAGUCUCAGCCAACUUACGUCUUCUGCACUCAAUCCAUCUAUGGUGGUUGCUAAGAAAGAAAAGGUGACUAAACAAUAAUCAAAGGUAUAUGGAAGACUUGUAAUCUGAAUCAAAUUAUUUCUGAACAAUGCUCAGACAUGAAAGUUCAACUUAAGUGUGCCAAUAAAUCCCAGAGAAGUGAUCAUCUUACCCAAAUGGUUUGUUGCAAACUGUAGCUCUAUAUUGUUGCCAUAACUCCUGCAUUGUUACUUGCAGCAAAGAACAUAAAAUGUUCCAUUUGAUUAAACUCAUUUCUUUCUAGUCAUUCAGAUAUAGUAUGUACAUACAUUAAUAUAAAUAUAUAUAUAUAUAUAUAUAUAUAUAUAUAUAUAUAUAUUAAUAUAAAUAUAUGUAAAUAUUUAUAUUUAUAUUUACAUAUACAUGUAUAUAUAAAUAUAAAUAUAUAUGGGCUAUAUGUAUAUAAACAGCUGUGUAUUACACAGUAGGGCUAUGACGACAGAUUUUUUGGGCUAUGGCGACGGUAAACUAGACAUUUUUAAUUUAUUUUUUUGUCCCAAAAAAUGUAUAGUAUUUAUUCCAACAUAAAUUUCUAUAAUAUAAUAUUUUAGGUGUAAUUUAGAUACAUAUACAACAACAGGAUAUCUAAAUUAAACAUAAAACACUAUAUUUUGUAAAAAUUCAUGUUGGAAUAAAUACUAUACAUUUUUUAAGACUCACAAGCAAAAAUAAAUAAAUAAAUUAAAAAUGUCCAAUUUUCCUGUCCAUUUUUCCGGGUCUCUGUAGAAGUACUCUAAUUUUUAUAUCAAUAUAUUUCCCACCCUUACUUUUUGGAUACUACUACCUACUGGGAUAAAGUAUCUGCAAAUAAGGAGACAAAUAUUCCGUACAAUAAUCAAUCUUUAUCUAUUAAUUUUGUAUGAUUAAAAAUAAAUUACACAAAUAAUCAGAUCAACGUCAAAAGAGUAUUUGCUAAACAAACACGUUUAGCACUACUAUACUUAACUUGGCAUUAAUUUACUUACCGGUGGGAGAAAAAAGAAGUAAAUGUAUAUAUGGGAAAAGGAAAUCAAAUUAUAUCAGAACCAAAACUGGACUAUCUUUAUCAUUAGAGGAGUUCUCUCCUCUCUCUCUGUAUAUGCUUUUUCUCUCAUAUAUAUAUAUAAACCCUCUCCUCUCCUCUCUCUAGAUGCUUUCUCUCUCACACAAGCGCACACAGUAAUAGGAUAGGGGUAGGACUGUAGGUGUAGGAAGGGUAAUAGUACGGGAUGCCAGAUAAAACUAUUUGUAUCUGUCGAUCACCACUCACACUCCGUAAAAAAGCUGCAUGCGUGUUUAUUACAACCACGAUUCCCUAUUAAUAAAGUCAACUCCUCCUCUUACUAUGCUACGGAUCCGGUUAGCAUGAAAUUUGUUUUUUGUUAAGUUGGUCAAUAGAAUGCCGACACACAUCGAGUCUCGCCUGCGUGUCAGCACUCUAUUGGCCAAUUACUCAAAAUGAACUUCAUUCUAACCAAUUCCCUAUGCUACAGACAAGACAAUAAUGAGGGUUUUAACCAUACGUUCAAUACUCCAGAAGAAUAAGACGGUGUUGUACAGCUCGUUAAUACCAAUGAAAUCAAUCAAUGGUAAUCAUUCAUAUAUAUAUAUAUAUAUAUAUAAGUUUUUUCUACUAUUUUUUCUUCCAUCUCUUUCUCCCCAUUUUUAACCGAGAUUUCUCUUAGAAAAUGAAAAGAAGUAGAUGAAGCAACACCUAAGGUUGUGGAUGCAUCGGUGAAAAAAAAAUUAAAUUUCAGAGAAAGACAAACUUCAAGUUCCGUUUUAGGCCGGUCCAAUGCCAGCGAUGCACUCUCGCUCCGCCUCCACCGUCACCGACUCCGCCUCCACCACCGUCGAAAUCAAAAUUAUACUGCAAAAAUAACCAACCUAUAUUGAUUCGAUUGAUAUACUGAUCUUACCCUAUUGAAAACAGAUUUUAAAAUCUAUAAGAACCUGGUCAAGUACUUUUGUAGUCGGAACAAGUCUGGCUCAAUCCUAUGAGAGGUUUACUAGGUCAAUUACUUCCAGAGAUAUCUCCUCCUUCAAAGAAGUUGUAUUAGGUAAAGAUUCAAAAAAAUUGGAUAAAAUCCUGAGUAUAUUGGAUAGGAUCGAAGAAAAGUUGGAUAAUCUUGACAAAGGAGAAGGAGAUGGUGACCAAGGUGAUGAAGAUGGCAUUAACCUAAAGGUGGUGGUGAAGAUAGUGAAAUGGAUGUGGAAGAUAUUUUUUCCCUAAACUGAUUACAAUAUUUUGUUAUGGUAGUUCGAUUAAUAUUUUGUUAUGGUAGGUAAAGGCAUCACCAUCUCGUUCGUGCACCAAAUUCAGAAUGAACUUGAAUAGGGACCAAGUAAUUUAUUUUUAUUAUUAUUUUGGGUUCUAACAAGUCGGAUUUAAACUAGAAAUUUCAAUUUUGUUCAGAACCAAAAAGCUUUGGGAGAAAAAAAAUAUUUGGAUUUUUGAUUUUUAAUUUGUAAGGAGAAAAGUUGAUUUUUGGUUUGCAAAUUAUGGACUCCCAAAGCUGGAGUAAAUCCAAGUUGUAAUUAAUUUUAAUAGAAUUGACAACUUAUUUAUAAACAUAAAAAUUAAUUAAAUAAGUUGAACUCUGUUUAAAAUAAUACGCAACACAAAAAUACAACUCUUUCUGAAACCAACUCGAUAAACAUCAUCUUUUCAUUCUAAAAUUCAUAGAAAUGCAACUGUUUCUGAGUUUUUUGCCACCAACUAAAAAGGAAAGCCAGUUCUAUCACAAGGAGUAAUAAAUAAAUAUGCUAAAUGUCAAACAAACCAGGUGAUGCCCUUACCUACCAUAACAAAAUAUUAACCGAACUACCAUAACAAAAUAUUGUACUCAGUUUAGGAAAAAACAUCUUCCACAUCCAUUUCACCAUCUUCACUACCACUUUUAGGUUAAUGCCACCAUCUUCAUCACCUUCGUCACCAUCUCCUUCUCCUUUGUCAAGAUUAUCCAACUUUUCUUCGAUCUUAUCCAAUGUCCUCAUGAUUUUAUCCAAUUUUUAUGAAUCUUUACGGAAUACAACUUCUUUGUAGACGAAGUAAAUAUAUAUCUCCGCGUGAAAUUGCCCAGGUAAAUCUCUCAUACAAUUGAGUCAAACUAGUACCGACUACAAAAGUACUUGACCAGGUUCUUAUAGAUUUUAAAAUUUAUUUUCAACAGGGUAAGAUCAGUAUAUCAAUCGAAUCAAUAUAGGUUGGUUAUUUUUGCAGUAUACCUUUAAUUACGACGGUGACGGUAGUGGAGGCAGAGCCGGUGACGAUGGUGGAGGCGAAGCGAGAGUGCAUCGCUAGGAUUGGACCGACCUAAAAUGGCACUUGAAGUUUGUCCUUCUCUGAAAUUUAAUUUUUUUUUCACUGACGCACCCACAAUCUCAGGUGCUGCUUCAUCUCCCUUCUUCUCAUCAUUUUGUAAGAGGAAAUGCCAAUUAAAAAUGUGGAGAAAGAGAUGAAAGAAAAAAAUAAUAGAAAAAACUUAUAUAUAUAUAUGAAUGAUUACCAUUAAUUGAUUUGAUUGGUAUUAACGAGCUGUGCAACACCGUCUUAUUCUUCCGGAGUAUUGAAUGUAUGGACAAAACAUAAUCAAUGUAUUAUGUAUUGUGUGUAGCUUACUAGGAGGAGUUGCUGGCUUUAUUUAUAGGAGAAUUGUGGUUGUAAUUAACGUAGUAGUGUAGAGAGAGUACAUGCAUGCAACUUUUUUUACAGAGAGUGGUGAUCGACAAAUACAGAUACCAACAGAUAGUCGUCAGCUACCAUUACCCUUCAUACAGUCCUACCCCUACUACUGUGUGCGCUUGUGUGUGAGAGAAAGCAUAUAUGGAGAGAGAGAGGAGAAGAGGGUCUUCUGAUCUGAGCUAUAUAUAUACUAGCGAUAACCCGUGCCUGAAGGCACUGUAUAAUUCAAAAAAAAUAAAAAUAAAUUAUGAACACAAAAAAUUGAAAUAUGAGUUAUUUUGCGGCAACAUGUGAUGUCUAGUUUCCUCAAGUCUUUGUUUGUUGUCACAAGGGAUGAUAGACCUUCAUCAAUCACUCACAUACAUUUACUUAACUUAGCUCCCUCAAUGAAAUACACCAAUUUCCAAUGGCUUUCAGUCCAUAACAUGUAACCUGGCAACUAUCUAAUUUGAUUGAUUGCAACAUGGAAAGGUUUUGCAAAACAGCACUUACAUAAAUUUGUCCUCCUUUUCAAGAAUUUGUUUUUCUCACCGACGAAUCCGAAACCAACUCCACUCAUCUACACUCUUGAAUUUAUCCAAUGGGUAGACUGGCCCAAUAAGCAUGUUGAACCGCCUCCUCCUUACCUAAAAGGUUAACCUAUUAGGUUGAGGUUGCCUUAACCAUACUUAUUAACCCAUCCACCCUCUUAAAUUUAUCCAAUGUGAAAUUCAUCUGAAAUAUCUCAACAUUGAAUUUAUCCAAUGUGGGAUCUCCACCUUUCACUUAAUACCUUGUAGUUUAUACUUGGACUCUAUUUACUCCACCUUUCACUUAAUACCAUGGAGUUGAUACUUGGACUCUAUUUACUCCACGCACGAGGCCCUCGUGUUUUGUGGUACUAUGGUCAUAGAAUAUAGAUUAUGAGAAGAUAAAAAUAGCAAAAAGAUUUUGUGGUACUAUGGUCAAAAGAUUCGAAACACCUAGUAUACAGAUCUCAGAUCUCAGAUCUCAGAGUGCAGAAAUCAGAAAUUAGAAAGUAUUAUAGUGUAUAUGAUGUAUACAGAUCUGAUAUCUCACGAGUCACGACUUACCGUCGGCAUCUAGUCGGAGACGUUGGUUGCUUGCUAGCUCAAGGUCAGAGAUGCAGCAGAUGCUUAGAUUUGAGAAAGGGCAGGCCGGCAGGUUGAGCUUUAAUGGAGGAGAAGCUUCAAUGGAGCCAUGGAGGAGAAGUUAUUUCAUAGUAUUUGUGAAAGAAGACUGAAGAACUAGUGUAGAAGACUGAAGAGGUCUGUAGAGACGUUAAGACUAAAGAGAGUAAAGUGAAGUCGGUAAAAGAGAGAAU
rnacentral:lncRNA from 1 species